rnacentral:rRNA from 1 species
AUUGAACGCUGGCGGCAUGCCUUACACAUGCAAGUCGAACGGUAACGCGGGGCAACCUGGCGACGAGUGGCGAACGGGUGAGUAACACAUCGGAACGUGCCCAGUAGUGGGGGAUAGCCCGGCGAAAGCCGGAUUAAUACCGCAUACGACCUAAGGGUGAAAGCAGGGGAUCGCAAGACCUUGCGCUAUUGGAGCGGCCGAUGUCAGAUUAGGUAGUUGGUGGGGGUAAAAAGCCUACCAAGCCGACGAUCUGUAGCUGGUCUGAGAGGACGACCAGCCACACUGGGACUGAGACACGGCCCAGACUCCUACGGGAGGCAGCAGUGGGGAAUUUUGGACAAUGGGCGCAAGCCUGAUCCAGCCAUGCCGCGUGCGGGAAGAAGGCCU